GAAAGACCCCGUGAACCUUUACUAUAGCUUGACACUGAACAUUGAGCCUUGAUGUGUAGGAUAGGUGGGAGGCUUUGAAGUGUGGACGCCAGUCUGCAUGGAGCCGACCUUGAAAUACCACCCUUUAAUGUUUGAUGUUCUAACGUGGACCCGUGAUCCGGGUUGCGGACAGUGUCUGGUGGGUAGUUUGACUGGGGCGGUCUCCUCCUAAAGAGUAACGGAGGAGCACGAAGGUUGGCUAAUCCUGGUCGGACAUCAGGAGGUUAGUGCAAUGGCAUAAGCCAGCUUGACUGCGAGCGUGACGGCGCGAGCAGGUGCGAAAGCAGGUCAUAGUGAUCCGGUGGUUCUGAAUGGAAGGGCCAUCGCUCAACGGAUAAAAGGUACUCCGGGGAUAACAGGCUGAUACCGCCCAAGAGUUCAUAUCGACGGCGGUGUUUGGCACCUCGAUGUCGGCUCAUCACAUCCUGGGGCUGAAGUAGGUCCCAAGGGUAUGGCUGUUCGCCAUUUAAAGUGGUACGCGAGCUGGGUUUAGAACGUCGUGAGACAGUUCGGUCCCUAUCUGCCGUGGGCGCUGGAGAACUGAGGGGGGCUGCUCCUAGUACGAGAGGACCGGAGUGGACGCAUCACUGGUGUUCGGGUUGUCAUGCCAAUGGCACUGCCCGGUAGCUAAAUGCGGAAGAGAUAAGUGCUGAAAGCAUCUAAGCACGAAACUUGCCCCGAGAUGAGUUCUCCCUGACUCCUUGAGAGUCCUGAAGGAACGUUGAAGACGACGACGUUGAUAGGCCGGGUGUGUAAGCGCAGCGAUGCGUUGAGCUAACCGGUACUAAUGAACCGUGAGG
rnacentral:rRNA from 1 species